rnacentral:misc_RNA from 1 species
GGAAGGAUCAUUACCGAGAAACGGGCUCCGGCUCGAUCUCCCACCCAGUGUGUAUCGAUUUGAACCAGGCCGGAGACGGCAGGGUCAAUCAACUCUUGUCCUACGGGACGCAUGAAAAAAUUAAAACUUUCAACAACGGAUCUCUUGGUUCUGGCAUCGAUGAAGAACGCAGCGAAAUGCGAUAAGUAAUGUGAAUUGCAGAAUUUAGUGAAUCAUCGAAUCUUUGAACGCACAUUGCACCCAUUGGUAAUCCUUUGGGUAUACCUGUUCGAGCGCCGUUUGUGUCUAAGGCUCAGCCUUGCGUUGGAGGUGCCCCUGCAGGGGCUCUCCGAAACACAUCGGCGCCCGUCCCGGCUUCGAACGCAACGAAGUGCGCGAAGGGUCCGGACGGGCGGCCAGUCUCCGAAAGCAUGGCCUCGGAUCAGGUAGGGAUACCCGCUGAACUUAAGCAUAUCAAUAAGCGGAGGAAAAGAAACCAACAGGGAUUGCCCUAGUAACGGCGAGUGAAGCGGCAACAGCUCAAAUUUGAAAUCUGGCUUCGGCCCGAGUUGUAAUUUGUAGAGGAGUGUUCGGCGAUGCCUCGGCCCAAGUCUCCUGGAACGGAGUGCCUUGGAGGGUGAGAGCCCCGUAUACGGCCGGUCGGCAGAGCCAUGUGAACGUCCUUCGAAGAGUCGAGUUGUUUGGGAAUGCAGCUCAAAGUGGGUGGUAAAUUCCAUCUAAAGCUAAAUAUUGGCCAGAGACCGAUAGCGCACAAGUAGAGUGAUCGAAAGAUGAAAAGCACUUUGGAAAGAGAGUGAAACAGUACGUGAAAUUGUUGAAAGGGAAGCGCUUGCAAUCAGACUUGCUCGCAGACGUUCCGCCCGUCAGUGACGGGUUCACUCGUCUGCGGUCAGGCCAGCAUCGAUUUUGGCGGCCGGAUAAAGGCUUAGGGAAUGUGACUCCCCCGGGAGUGUUAUAGCCCUUUGCACAAUACGGCCAGCCGGGAUCGAGGACCGCGUUCGCUUGGAUGCUGGCGUAAUGGUUGUUAGCGGCCCGUCUUGAAACACGGACCAAGGAGUGAAACAUUCACGCGAGUGUUUGGGUGUCAAACCCGCACGCGCAAUGAAAGUGAACGGAGGUGGGAGCUUCGGCGCACCAUCGACCGAUCCGGACGUCCUCUGAAGGAUUUGAGUAAGAGCGUGACUGUUUCGACCCGAAAGAUGGUGAACUAUGCGUGAAUAGGGUGAAGCCAGAGGAAACUCUGGUGGAGGCUCGCAGCGGUUCUGACGUGCAAAUCGAUCGUCAAAUUUGCGUAUAGGGGCGAAAGACUUAUCGAACCAUCUAGUAGCUGGUUCCUGC